rnacentral:rRNA from 1 species
AUUGAACGCUGGCGGCAGGCCUAACACAUGCAAGUCGAGCGGAUGAAGGGAGCUUGCUCCUGGAUUCAGCGGCGGACGGGUGAGUAAUGCCUAGGAAUCUGCCUGGUAGUGGGGGAUAACGUCCGGAAACGGGCGCUAAUACCGCAUACGUCCUGAGGGAGAAAGUGGGGGAUCUUCGGACCUCACGCUAUCAGAUGAGCCUAGGUCGGAUUAGCUAGUUGGUGGGGUAAAGGCCUACCAAGGCGACGAUCCGUAACUGGUCUGAGAGGAUGAUCAGUCACACUGGAACAGAGACACGGUCCAGACCCCUACGGGGGGCAGCAGUGGGGGAUAUUGGACAGUGGGCGAAAGCCUGAUCCAGCCAUGCCGCGUGUGUGAAGAAGGUCUUCGGAUUGUAAAGCACUUUAAGUUGGGAGGAAGGGCAGUAAGUUAAUACCUGGCUGUUUAGACGUUACCAACAGAAUAAGCACCGGCUAACUGCG